GAUGAACGCUAGCUACAGGCUUAACACAUGCAAGUCGAGGGGCAUCAUGGAGAUUGCUUGCAAUCUUUGAUGGCGACCGGCGCACGGGUGAGUAACGCGUAUCCAACCUGCCUGCAAGUAGGGAAUAGCCCGGCGAAAGUCGGAUUAAUGCCCUAUGUUGUAUUAUGAGGACAUCUGAGCAAUACCAAAGAUUAAUCGCUAUGGGAUGGGGAUGCGUCUGAUUAGGCAGUAGGCGGGGUAACGGCCCACCUAGCCGACGAUCAGUAGGGGUUCUGAGAGGAAGGUCCCCCACAUUGGUACUGAGACACGGACCAAACUCC
rnacentral:rRNA from 1 species